rnacentral:rRNA from 1 species
GAUGAACGCUAGCGGCAGGCCUAAUACAUGCAAGUCGGACGGGAUUCAGGAGCUUGCUUCUGAUGAGAGUGGCGCACGGGUGCGUAACACGUAUGUAACCUACCUUUAUCAGGGGGAUAGCCUCUCGAAAGAGAGAUUAAGCCCGCAUAAAAUCACAGCACAGCAUUGUGUAAUGAUCAAAUAUUUAUAGGAUAAAGAUGGGCAUGCGGAACAUUAGCUAGAUGGCGGGGUAACGGCCCACCAUGGCGACGAUGUUUAGGGGAUCUGAGAGGAUGGCCCCCCACACUGGUACUGAGACACGGACCAGACUCCUACGGGAGGCAGCAGUAAGGAAUAUUGGUCAGUGGGCGGAAGCCUGAACCAGCCAUGCCGCGUGCAGGAAGACGGCCCUACGGGUUGUAAACUGCUUUUAUACGGGAAUAAACCCAGAUACGUGUAUCUGGCUGAAUGUACUGUAAGAAUAAGGAUCGGCUAACUCCGUG